ACGAGCACGUAGACAUCCCUUUGCCAAAACUAUUUAUGGCCAGUGACAUUGCGAAAAUACUUUAGUUACUUACACAUGUUUAUAGCAAGCAAACAGAAUGCUUAACAAAUGCACAUUUUUGCUAAUUCUACUCGGAUUGUUGGUUAUGUGGAGCAUGGCUCAAACAACAACAAGUGAAGCAACAACAACAGCAACAACUGAGCCUAUUACACGAACUGGAUUGAUCAGAGAAUUUGUGCGUCGAGUGAAUGCGUUAAUAGCCCAGUUGGCAAAAGAUGUGCAACAGUUGACAGCAGUGGACAACAGUAAUGUAAAUGUAAUCGCUUAAACAAAACAUGUGAGAAUUUAAAUAAAGAAAUUUCGCUUUAUAUUCCCUUUAA